rnacentral:rRNA from 1 species
UACGUAGGGGGCUAGCGUUGUCCGGAUUUAUUGGGUUUAAAGGGUGCGUAGGUGGCUUGUUAAGUCAGUGGUGAAAUACAGCCGCUCAACGGUUGAGGUGCCAUUGAUACUGACAAGCUUGAAACAAGUGGAGGUUGCCGGAAUGGAUGGUGUAGCGGUGAAAUGCAUAGAUAUCAUCCAGAACACCGAUUGCGAAGGCAGGUGACUACGUUUGAUUUGACACUGAGGCACGAAAGCAUGGGGAGCAAACAGG